UAAUAAGAGUUUUAUGGCACUUUUUUAAAUCCAUAUCCACCUUGUGUGCAAUGUCAGGGGUUGGUUUCAUUUUUUGACACCAGCCCCCAAACAUCAACUUAUUAUUAAACUCUUUGUCUGAAAAAUAUUAUGAAUAAAACAAUUCAAAAUA
rnacentral:misc_RNA from 1 species